CCAGCAGCCGCGGUAAUUCCAGCUCCAAUAGCGUAUAUUAAAGUUGUUGCGGUUAAAAAGCUCGUAGUUGGAUCUCGGCGGGUAGGGGGUGGUCUGCUUGCUAGCAGCACUUCCCCAGUUACCCGUGUUUUUGGCAGAGGUCGUUGGGUGCUCUUCAUCGAGUGUCCAGCGACGCUGUCAACUUUACUUUGAAAAAAUUAGAGUGCUCAAAGCAGGCUUUACACGCUUGAAUAUUCGUGCAUGGAAUAAUGGAAUAGGAAGUCGUUUCUAUUUUGUUGGUUUUCGGAAAUCGACUUAAUGAUUAAUAGGGACAAUCGGGGGCAUUAGUAUUCAGACGACAGAGG
rnacentral:rRNA from 1 species